CCUAAUAAUUCAGAAGGGUGUGGGGGACCACACAAGACAAGUUGAUACAAGGGUUGAGAUUGAUUUGAUCCAAGGGUUGAGAGGCAUUCUUCCAACUCUAUUGAAGUGCCCAUCGUUUUUGCCUAAAUUACACAAGUACCAUGUCUUUCCCUUUCACGUCUAUCUCAAAAAUUAGGUUGGGACGCCUCUCUUCCUCAUAUAGAGACACUCCAAAUUGCAAUCAUGACGGAGAAUGAAUGAGAGGCAUCGUGAGGAAAGAUAGGAAGUGCUUUGGGAAGUCUUUCUUCUCAUCUAAACCCUAACCCCCAACUUCUCACUCCGUCCUCCUAUUCAUGGGCGUGGAAGAAGGAGACCAAAUUCCCACUUUUUAUACAUUGGCGUGGUAGAAGAACAUCAGAGACAGAGGUCUCAAAAUCGAUCGUUGUCGGUGGUUUAAUUGCGGGCAUAGAGACCGCUUGAGGGUUUUUGACCGGAAAAGGCUUGACCUUUAAGAGGCAGAGAAGGAGGUCGCAACAGCCAUUAGAGUUGUACACUGCAGCAGCUGUGGAGGACAACUUGAACUUGAGAGAAUUCGAACGUUUCAAUUUGCAUAUCAAACUUCAUAGUUGGUGCGAGCAGACUCACGAAUGUUGUACUGAAAGACCAAACCAAUAGUGCAA